CCUACGGGUGACAGCAGUGAGGAAUAUUGGUCAAUGGACGAGAGUCUGAACCAGCCAAGCAGCGUGAAGGAUGAAGGUGCCAUGCAUUGUAAACUUCUUUUGUAUGGGAAUAAAACAAGGCAUGCAUACCCGCUUGUGUGUACAAGAUGAAUAAGGAUCGGCUAACUCCGUGCCAGCAGCCGCGGUAAUACGGAGGAUGCGAGCGUUAUCCGGAUUUAUUGGGUUUAAAGGGUGCGCAGGCGGCCUGUUAAGUCAGCGGUAAAAGCCCGGGGCUCAACCCCGGCGAGCCGUUGAAACUGGCGGGCUGGAGUUGGAGAGAGGUACGCGGAAUGCGCGGUGUAGCGGGGAAAUGCUUAGAUAUCGCGCAGAACCCCGAUUGCGAAGGCAGCGUACCGGCUCCACACUGACGCUGAGGCACGAAAGCGUGGGUAUCGAACAGGAUUAGAUACCCGGGUAGUC
rnacentral:rRNA from 1 species